ACACACACACACACACACACACAAUGAAUCCCAUUGUCUUUCUCUCAUAUUGUUCUUGACUCUAUCCAUGUUUUCUAUUGUCCCAGUUUUAGGGAUACCUGUAAAAAAUGAGUAAGAAAGAGAAAUUCAACAAGUGAUUAUUCCCAGAGUGCAGCCAUACAAAAUUGCUUAUCAGAAAGUUGUUCUCUGUCAGGGGCCUGGAAGAAAGCUCGUGAUUAGCUCACAGGUUACCACUAUAUCCAGCUGACUGUGCAUUCUCUAGUCACACACUUAGGUAAUCUGAAGGAUAAUGGUGGGAUUGGGGACUAAAUCUAGUAGUAAUAAAACACUAUUAGAAAAUCUUUGUUACAAUCUCAGAGUGUCUUGAGGGUUCCAGAAAAAGUUCCUGGUCUUGUAUUUUAUGCUUUAAAACUAGGGCUGUGCAGGGACAAUUCCAAUUAAGCAAUCCUCCUGGCUUCUUUCCCUGGAAGCCUAUUUCUUUCUUCCCAUCUGUGAUCUUUGUUCUCCUCUUUUCUGGUAAAACUGUUUUAGCCGGGUCAGCCAAGCUAAAUGUCCCUGAUUUACCAGCAGAGCCCUGGCUCUCACUAUGGGGUCAAAGGGCAGGGUACAGAAUUGCAAAACAGUGAUCCUGAGCCCUUUAAAGCUGUUCUAGUCCCUGAAGCACUCUAUCGUAAAGUAAACAUGAGUUGAGAAAUGAUUACAUGUACAAAUAAUAGUAAGGCAAGCAACAGGAGUGAGGAAUCUGUUGAUUUCUUCAAUAGUACUUGAACAUGCUUUUCCUCUGUAACUCUAUUUCCCUGAGACCGCUCCACAAGUAUUUCUCCCUUGGGUGAUAUGCCUGCAUUUGAACCAUAAAGAUGAACCACAGAGGGCCAUUGGAGGACUGACUGUCAAGAGAGGCCUCCGGGGGGGCUGGUGGCAAUUCUGAGAGGGAAUAGUAGUCGUUGGGAGGGCUUAAUAGAAAUAAUGGUUGGGGAGAACAAAGAGAUCUACGUUUUUCCUGCCACACAACCCGACUGUGGCUCAACUGCAGGGACUGUGAGGCAGGUACAGCAGGAGCGCCAGCUGCUGAGCUGGGAUCUUCUGAAUGGAGAAGUCGCCUCUUUUUCAGCCCCCCAAGGAGGUCAGCAGCAUUCACAGGAUCAGGAACACAGCCCCACGGAGGGCACCUGGGUGGCUCAGUCGUUAAGCAUCUGACUUCAGUUCAAGUCAUGACCUCAUGCUGAGUUUGAGUCCCACUUCGGGUGAGCUCGAGCCCCACUUCCGAUCAGACAAAGAGGCAACACAGAGAAUUUAAGUGAAUUGUCCAGCAUCACAGAGCAGAGCCAAGGGAUGCCAGAUUCUCAAAUAAGAAGAUGGCAGUCAGUCUCACAUCAUCCUGCUCCUGUGACGACAGAUGCAUGUCAUGGACUGAGAAACAUUAUGUUGACCACAAAACUCAUAGGUGAUUAUUGGAGGCUCAGAUCCAAGAGAAUUAUCAUCACUGGACCAACAACAGCCUGGGGAACCUAACAAACAGAAGAUACAUCAUUGGAAGAUACAGCAUUGAGUGGGAGCCAAGAAAGCAGUUUUGAGGACAAGAUGAGAAUUAAAAAGUAAUGUUGAUAACAUUGGAGAAGGUAGCUGGAAACAAGCAGAAAGCUGCUGUCAAAGGAAACUAAAAAAUAUAAAACUGGAGAAUUAUUGACUGUGGGUAUAUAUUACAGACUAAAAUCCAGAAGUCUAUACAGUUAACGGAUUGUCAAAGAGUCAGGAGGAAAGGGCAAGAGUUAAAAAAAAAAAAUUGGAGUGGAUAAAUAAAAAAAUCAGACCUGAGAGGUAAUUUUUCUUCAGGUUGUAUUCAAUACUCUGCAGGCCACAUCUAGAGAUACAACACAGUCACUGGCUUGUAAAAUAUUUAAGGAGCUGAAAAAUUAGGUUUAUUAUGAAUAAUGAAGGAAAUGAAGACUUUUCAGUCUGGAGACUAGAAGGUAGAAAGGUAAUUUAAUCAAGCUUAAUGUUUAAGAGGAGGAAACCAGCAGUUUUCCAUCUCCUCUGACAACAAACAUGAGGAAACAGUUUUCGAUUAUAAAAAACAGAUAUAAGUUGGAGGUGAAAGAGAUUUUACACUGAUGACGGUGAAUAAGCCAAAAAUAAUAAUAAAAUCUAGUUUUCUGGAAGGUAUAAAGGAAAAUGACUUUCCUCUGUUCUAGGGUCACCAACUGAUCUUUUUUGAAAUUUAUUUCUAGGCUAUUGACUAGAUUGGGGGUUGGCAAGUUCUUUCUGUAAAGGGCCAGACAGUAACUAAUUUAGACUUUGGGGGCCAUAUGGUUUCUGUAACAGCUAAUCAACUCUGCAGAUGAAGUGUGAAAGCAACCGUAGACACUAUGUAACCGGUGAGCGUGGCUGUGCUCCGAAUAAAACCUAAUUUAUGAAAAGAUGCUCGGGGCGGGAUUUGGCCCACCGGCUAUAGUUUAUACUGACUCCUCGAUGAAGUGAACCACACAAGCAUUUUGAACCUUUGAAUCUUGAUGUGGAAAAGAGUGUUGGAGAUGACAAGGUCUUUACUGGGGCCUUUGUUCUGUGUUGAGUUCUGCGGUAGUUUUUGGGAACGACACAGGACAGAGAGGAAAGCUGUGAAAGGGAAUAUACGUGAGGGUAUUGCCAUUAUGGGCAAGUGGAGCUCAAUCCAUGUGAUGGGUGAGGAAGCUGGGAAAUUUAUUUGCAAACUUUUGUUUCUUAUUGUUUAUUUCCUGAUUGUUCUCAUUUGUCUGGCCCACCCUGCUCAGAGCAAUCCUGAUUCCCAGGGCAGAGAGUACCCUCAGGCCGAGAGAGAGGCAAGAAGCCAGCAGCCUGCAUAAGAACUGUACAAGUGACCCCUGUGCAGGUGACCUGUGUGCGGGUGACCACAGGGGAAGGCCAAGGAAUAUGGAUGGGACACCAGCAUCGCCUGCUACCAGCACCACCUGAAUCUCUUUCUGUUCACUCGCUCCUGGGAGGGCAGAAUUCUGAACAGACUCACUUACGUCUUCAAAGAAGGUACUGUAUUUCUGGCGGCGGCUGAAUCUCUGGACUACCAAAGCUCUCCUGAAGGGCCCUCUUCUGUGGUUCCAGCUCCCACUGAACUGCUGACCCUAAGAGAAAUGCCCCCAAGGGGACCCAGAGAGCCUGCUGGGCAGUGACAUGACUGUUCUCUCUUGCCUCAGAGAAGAAAGCUGUGCCGGUUAUCCGGUAGUUCUCCGAGGAGGAGGUGAGAGAUGCAAACAGUUGCUCCAUGAUGUCUAGUAUGACUCCAUGUUGCCACAUGGCCAUGCUCCUAGAAAAUGCAAGGUGCCAAUUGUAGCAGAGACUUUUUUCUUUCUAAACAAUGGAGGAGAUUUUAGUCUAUUUCUCUCUCAGGGAAAUAAAUGAUCUAAAAAGGAAUGUUCCAUGAAAGAGCACUAAGGAUUUGGGCUCUUCCCACCAUCCCUUCCCAUCUGCCUUUGCUCUUUCUUCCCUAUUUUUUCUCCUGGACUACAGAUCCUUGGUGAGUCCAUUGCUUCCAGUAAAGUUGCCUACAUGGCAGUUUUUACUCUGUUUUUAAUUUUUCUCCUUUGUAUCCAGUUCUUAAAUGUCCACACAUUACCUGGCCAGUGCACAUACUCCUACAUGGUGGGUACUGGGGCUGCUGAGAAGGGUCCAUAGGUUGUCCCCCUCAUCAGAUUCCUUGGCAAGGCCCUCUUUCAUGGCUUGGGCUUGCACACACUUCAGAGUUGUGACUGAGAGCCUGAAAGAGACAGUGGGCACCACAAAAGUAAGUCAACCCCAUACAGGGAGUUGUGAAUCCCAAGUUCACUCUUUCUGUUCCCCACAAGUCUCCUUCACCCUGGAUGAAUGGAUGUUGUGUGAGGAAAAACACCAGACAGCCUGAUCUCACACUUCAGUUUUGGGGCCAAAGGGGACACUGAGGUGAUUUGGACCAGUAAAUAAUGCCACAGAAUUUUGUUAACCUCUCAUGAGAAAAUAAAGCCCUAAAGAUGGAAAGUGCCAAAUACUAUAUUUCACUGAUUCUGAAACAGCCCUUCAGAAGCAGGAUGUGGCUUGCAAUGGAUAGUGUGUUAUGACAGUUGGCCAGACAGUGGUUGUGGUGUAGUUGUUAUUACCAGUGCGUGCACAUGAACAUGCAUGGAUUUAGGCAUGGUUGUUUACACUGUUGUCAUUUUGGUAACAUUGUGUUAUUGGAACUACAUGUGUUGGGUCUAACCGUUGUUUAAAAUGUCUUUACAAAGUGGAUUUGAGGGGUGCCUGGGUAGCUCAGUCUGUUAAGCGUCUGACUUCAGCUCAGGUCAUGAUCUCACAGUCUGUGAGUUUGAGCCCUGCGUCGGGCUCUGUGCUGACAGCUCAGAGCCUGGAGCCUGCUUUGGAUUCUGUGUCUCCCUCUCUCUCUACCCCUUCCCACUCACACUCUGUCCCUCAGAAUGAAUAAACGUGAAAAAAAAAUUAAAAAAAAACUAAGGUGGAUUUGACAUUGGAAUGAAAAGUUAUGCAAAAGGGCACAGAAACAGAGCGUUGUGAUGUAGGAUCAAAAUGUGCAGCUAAUUAUUCUCAAAGAGCUCUUUGAAUAAAUACAUAGUAAAAAAUUUAAAGUAUAACAAAGCAUUGAUUCAUGGCUUAAUCAGGAUUCUUUCUUUCUUUUUCAAUAGUGCACAAAAUAAUUUUGCUUCCUUCAAUUGGUGAUAUCUUAAAUUUAAUAAAAUAUGGUAUUUAUUUCUAUUUUUCUUCUUUCCUUGGUGGCGUUGACUAUCCCAGAAUUCCAGCUUUCUUUGAAGGGUCUCA